rnacentral:rRNA from 1 species
AUGGCUGCGAUACUAGGAUCCGCGGUUGCAAGCGAGUCUGUAAGCAGAAUUUUCUCGAUCAUAUCAGGCAACUCGGGAGAGGAUGGGGGUGCGGAGGACAACGCCGAGAGGCUGAAGUUCGCGGUGCUGAAGAUCCACAGCGUUGUCGCCGUCUCCGAAGAUUGGCGCAUACUUCACCAACCAUUGCUCGACUGGAAGGCGAGGCUGAAGCGCGUGGCCAAGGAAGGCGAUGGCAUCCUGCGCGCUCACACGAGGAGAUCCGCGGAGCGCAAACGGGGCGAUGGGGUUGCGAGGAAGGCUGUUCCCGUUCAUAAGCGCGUCGCUCGAGCGGCGACACGCUUCUUGCCCUUCCGCCGCGGCAAGGACGACGACGGCGAUCCGAGCGAUGCGACGGUGCGGAGGUUCGAGAGGCUAGCGCGUGUCGCCGACGAGUUCUUCCGGUACGUCCAGCUUGGGGGCCGUCCGAAGAGCUUGACGGCGUCCAUGGAAGUUCCUGCAGAGCCGCUGCUUGCAGGGAAGACGCUGGAGUUCUCCCUCCGGAGCGGCAGCCGGGACGCCCUCCUGCUGCUCCAUCCGUGCAACAGGGAGAUCGUUCUCUUCCUCUCCUGCGACGACAGCGCGGCGUGGGAGAGGAACGUGAAGCUCUGCGUUGUCUUCCGACUGCUCGAGCACACUGACGUCUUGGACAUCGUCAUGUCUUCCUUGCAGCUGCUGCCUCCCCAGUUCGGCGCCGCCUGUGCGACGGCAAGGGAGUUCGUCAGGGAGGCGCGGGCGCAGGAAACGAGCUAUACCAGCGCGUCGUCCAUGUCGAUGCGGUGCGUCUCGUCGGCAUGGAGGUGUCACCGCAACUCCACGGACGGGGGAUGCGCGGCGACCGACGGUAUGCCGCGGCUGCCGUGGCCGAUCGUUCGAGUCGACGCCGUGUACUUCGCCAUGCCGCAGAACGAUUCGCCGGAUGCGCCUGCGGACCAGAACAAGCUUCUGAAAUUGGCAUGCCAUAUCACUCCCCAUCUUGUGCCCGAGACGUACUCCCGGCACUACCGGCAGAUCGGGACGGAAACACUACAAGAGCUGUCCCCCAAGGUGGCGGACGAAGGAGCUUCCGCUUGUGGACGGACAGCUGCGUGGUGGUGUCCUCGCAGCUCAACGUAUUUGUCGGCGGAACCAGAGGUUUCGGUGCCGCCGCCGACGCUGCAGCAGUUGUUCCUGGUGCAAAGCUUGAAGGGGGCAAUGUAG